UACGUAGGGUGCGAGCGUUGUCCGGAAUUACUGGGCGUAAAGAGCUCGUAGGCGGUUUGUCACGUCGUCUGUGAAAACCAGCAGCUCAACUGCUGGCUUGCAGGCGAUACGGGCAGACUUGAGUACUGCAGAGGAGACUGGAAUUCCUGGUGUAGCGGUGAAAUGCGCAGAUAUCAUGAGGAACACCGGUGGCGAAGGCGGGUCUCUGGGCAGUAACUGACGCUGAGGAGCGAAAGCGUGGGUAGCGAACAGG
rnacentral:rRNA from 1 species